rnacentral:rRNA from 1 species
GACGAACGCUGGCGGCGUGCCUAAUACAUGCAAGUUGAGCGAUGAAGCUUGGUGCUUGCGCCAAUUUGAAGAGCAGCGAACGGGUGAGUAACGCGUGGGGAAUCUGCCUUUGAGCGGGGGACAACAUUUGGAAACGAAUGCUAAUACCGCAUAACAACUUUAAACAUAAGUUUUAAGUUUGAAAGAUGCAAUUGCAUCACUCAAAGAUGAUCCCGCGUUGUAUUAGCUAGUUGGUGAGGUAAAGGCGCACCAAGGCGAUGAUACAUAGCCGACCUGAGAGGGUGAGCGGCCGGAUUGGGACGGAGACACGGCCCAAACGCCUACAGGAGGCGGCAGUAGGGCAUCUUCGGCCAGGGGCGAAAGUCUGACCGAGCAACGCCGCGGGAGGAAAGAAGGGUGUCGGAUCGGAAAACUCGGUUGGUAGAGAAGAACGUUGGUGAGAGUGGAAAGCUCAUCAAGUGACGGUAACUACCCAGAAAGGGACGGCUAACUACGUG